UGGGAUAUAAAAAAUCAUUUUAUUAAGUAAUAUGUAGAAAAAGGACAAAUUGGUUUGGAAUAUUAUUCCACAAAUAUCUUUAUGAAAUCUCUUCCUAAAGAUAAGUUUCUAAUUUUCAAAGACAUGUUAAAUCUUGUUUUAGUGUAGAACUAAGUCCCACUUCUAGAGGAGAAAUGUUACCAUAUUGAUUGUACCUCAAGCUUGGACUUGUUCAACACAUAACAAAGUUCUAUUAACAAUGUUCCCUUCUUCCAGCACAUUCAUGUUUGCAACUUGCAUGAAAUUCCAUUUACUUAAUAGCAUGCUGUGAACCCCAUAAUACAUAAGGUCUCACACAUAAAUACACAAACACAUCCAAUUCCUGAUACCAAACUCACGGCAACCUUCACACCAGCAGCGGCAGAAGCUCUUGUGGACUAGUAGCAGGUUAGGGCUGUGGACCCCAGAUUUCAAGCAGUCGUUACAGUCUCACACCUGUAGAGCUAGAUCUGUGAACUCGUGUUAGAAUCCUUGGCGGAGGAUUGAAUUUGCCUGCUUUUGUUAACACACAGAUUGCAUCUGAUCUUUUUUCGGAUGUCCAAAACCCAUUUUCACAGGCAGCAGGAACCUGAAUGCAGACAUGUGGGGCUAUUCACCAGGCUGCCCUUGAUAUCAAUCCUUUAGUUUGGUGUUCAACACUGUGUAUUAACUUUCCCCCAAGCCAUACAAAAUCCUCCACUCAGGAUUUGCGUUGUUUCAGUUUCUCAUCAAACACAUGGAUCAUGGCGUACCUAGAGAAUGGAAUAUUCACGGAUGUCAGCCACCUGCAUGAUUUCACGAUGCUACCAGAAUGUAUAAGAAUUAUUCAUAUCCCAUCACACAGUGACUGAUGGCAGUGUUUGUCAGAGGAUUUAUGGGUGGAGUGCGUGCCUGGGAAACCCACUUUCUUAUCCAGAUUUAAGGAAGUGGAUGGUGCUGCGUCUUCGGCAUCUCGCGUGUCGCCAUCUUUGCAAAAGCUCAUCCCACCUCAAAGUAGAGAUAGACUUAGCCACCAAGCAACAUGCCCCCAUCCUCAUCGCACGCAAAUCAAUAAUGUACUUCUCUUCGAUUGGCGUGUAGAACAAUACUUGAAUCAUUGAAUAUUCAAGGACGCAUGGGUCUCCAUGCACUUUUUCAUUGCAGCAAACAUAGGUCCAGGCUGAAAUAUUUGUUGAUCUGCAC
rnacentral:lncRNA from 1 species